CUCAUCUCUAAAUCGCUACUCCCCCCCCCAUUCUCGAUCCUAGCACAAGCACAAUAGGAGGAGAACCAGCGUCUUCGCCUCCCUUCCUCGUUCGUCUCCAUCCCUGCCUGUCUAUAGGUACAAGGCAAGAGGGAGGUGUGCAUGAGAGUAGAAGAUCAUGGAGUUCUGGCCGGAGCUAUUAGCGAAUAGUUGGGGGAGGGAGUUCGUGGUCGAGGGGCAUCGGUGGCAUGGUCGGGGUCACCUUUCGGCAACUCGCUCGACACGGUCCGCAUUUAUAUUGGGGGCCUUAAAAUUGAGAGGAAGACACCCUAAUCCAUUGCUAUAUUUAUUACUGAAAUCUUGAAAUUUGAAGUUUUACAAGGACUUCUUUUCCUUCCAAGCUUGUAUUCGAUCACACUAUACCUAUAAUUCUGACUUGCCACUGAGCUUGAAUUGAUACAAUGAGAGCACAUGAACAAGUUGUGAUCUUUUCUCUUUUAGUUGCAGUUGCUUCUCUGGAAUUCACCAGAUCUCAGGUUGUUGCAUCAAUACCUGGAACUUUCUUCUGUGUCUGGUAUGCUCUCAAAAAAUUGCAUUCUACAUUGAGUGUUAAAGUAAUUAUUGGGAGGUACAAAAGCUUAUAACGAGACCACCAGCUAUUGGCAGUGUUAAAGAACUUGAGAGGUUGGGCCUAAAGGAAAGUAUCAUAAGUCAAUCAACGAAGGAUGUUUUCCAAAGAAGGAUUUUUGCUUUGUAUAGACUUAAUAUGGAUACAAAGUUAAUUUAUGGAUUAUGUAUACAUAUUUUUUAUUUGAAUUGUAUGAAGUUGUAUCUUUUACUAAAUAAUUAUAUUUUAAAAAAGAU